GACGAACGCUGGCGGCGUGCUUAACACAUGCAAGUCGAGCGGUAAGGCCCUUUCGGGGGUACACGAGCGGCGAACGGGUGAGUAACACGUGGGUGACCUGCCCUCAGCUCUGGGAUAAGCCUGGGAAACCGGGUCUAAUACUGGAUAUGACUCCAUGACGCAUGUUGUGGGGUGGAAAGCCCUGUGCGGCUGAGGAUGGGCCCGCGGCCUAUCAGCUUGUUGGUGGGGUGAUGGCCUACCAAGGCGACGACGGGUAGCCGGCCUGAGAGGGCGACCGGCCACACUGGGACUGAGACACGGCCCAGACUCCUACGGGAGGCAGCAGUGGGGAAUCUUGCGCAAUGGGCGAAAGCCUGACGCAGCGACGCCGCGUGA
rnacentral:rRNA from 1 species